rnacentral:rRNA from 1 species
UAUCUCUGUAGAGUCUGCAUAUCAAUAAGCGGAGGAAAAGAAACUAACUAGGAUUCCCUCAGUAACGGCGAGUGAAGCGGGAAGAGCUCAAAUUUGAAAUCUUCAAGGUUUUACCUUGACGAAUUGUAGUUUAAAGAAGUGUUUUCUGUUGGAAUUUUGGUAAAAGUUCUUUGGAAAAAGACAUCAAAGAGGGUGAGAAUCCCGUAUUUGACCAUUAUUUCCAGCUUUGUGAUACACUUUCAAAGAGUCGGAUUGUUUGGGAAUGCAGUCCAAAAUGGGUGGUAAAUUUCAUCUAAAGCUAAAUACUGGCGAGAGACCGAUAGCGAACAAGUACCGUGAGGGAAGGAUGAAAAGAACUUUGAAAAGAGAGUUAAACAGUACGUGAAAUUGUCAAAAGGGAAGCGUUUGACACCAGUGUUGUUUUCUCGAAAAUCAAUUAAAAAUGGCGGGAUUUUGUGUUGUAUUGACUUUAUCAGCUUUCUGCACUUUUUUCUUGUCCUUUUUUAAUGCACUUUUCGUUUAACAAGUCAACAUCAAUUUCUUUUGUUGUAAAAGGGUCAUUGGAAGGUGGCUUUCUUUUCGGAGAAAGUGUUUACAGCCUUUGACUUCUGCAAUCGGAGAGAUUGAGGUCUGCAGCGUAGAUCCUUCGGGGUUAGAUGCAUUUGUGCUAAGCUAUAGCCUUUCAUAGACAACUUGUUGACUAUGAUCAGUCAUGUAGCUUACUCGCUUAUGUUAUUUUACCUACGCUUAGGAUGUUGAUCUCUCACAGUCGAGC